rnacentral:rRNA from 1 species
UACACGACCGUACCGCAAACCGACACUGGUGCGCGAGAUGAGUAUUCUAAGGCGCUUGAGAGAACUCAGGAGAAGGAACUCGGCAAAUUGACACCGUAACUUCGGAAGAAGGUGUGCCUUUAGUAGGUGAACCUGUACAAGGGGAGCCCAAUGAGGUUGCAAAAAAUCGGUGGCUGCGACUGUUUAAUAAAAACACAGCACUCUGCAAACACGAAAGUGGACGUAUAGGGUGUGACGCCUGCCCGGUGCUGGAAGAUUAAAUGAUGGGGUGCAAGCUCUUGAUUGAAGUCCCAGUAAACGGCGGCCGUAACGAUAACGGUCCUAAGGUAGCGAAAUUCCUUGUCGGGUAAGUUCCGACCUGCACGAAUGGCGUAACGAUGGCCACACUGUCUCCUCCUGAGACUCAGCGAAGUUGAAAUGUUUGUGAUGAUGCAAUCUCCCCGCGGAAAGACGGAAAGACCCCAUGAACCUUUACUGUAGCUUUGUAUUGGACUUUGAACAGAUCUGUGUAGGAUAGGUGGGAGGCUUUGAAGUGUGGUCGCUAGAUCGCAUGGAGCCAACGUUGAAAUACCACCCUGGUGUGUUUGAGGUUCUAACCUAGGCCCGUAAUCCGGGUCGGGGACAGUGCAUGGUAGGCAGUUUGACUGGGGCGGUCUCCUCCCAAAGCGUAACGGAGGAGUUCGAAGGUGCGCUAGGUACGGUCGGACAUCGUGCUAAUAGUGCAAUGGCAUAAGCGUGCUUAACUGCGAGACUGACAAGUCGAGCAGAUGCGAAAGCAGGACAUAGUGAUCCGGUGGUUCUGUAUGGAAGGGCCAUCGCUCAACGGAUAAAAGGUACUCUGGGGAUAACAGGCUGAUACCGCCCAAGAGUUCAUAUCGACGGCGGUGUUUGGCACCUCGAUGUCGGCUCAUCUCAUCCUGGGGCUGUAGCCGGUCCCAAGGGUAUGGCUGUUCGCCAUUUAAAGAGGUACGUGAGCUGGGUUUAAAACGUCGUGAGACAGUUUGGUCCCUAUCUUCCGUGGGCGCUGCAGAUUUGAGGAAGCCUGCUCCUAGUACGAGAGGACCGGAGUGGACACACCUCUGGUGUAUCGGUUGUCACGCCAGUGGCAUUGCCGAGUAGCUAUGUGGAAGAGAUAACCGCUGAAAGCAUCUAAGCGGGAAACUCGUUUCAAGAUGAGAUCUGCCGGGGCCUUGAGCCCCCUAAAGAGUCGUUCAAGACCAGGACGUUGAUAGGUCGGGUGUGGAAGCGCAGUAAUGCGUUAAGCUAACCGAUACUAAUUGCUCGUGCGGCUUGACC